AGCCGCGCGCUGCGUCCGCCCCCAGCAGCCUUCGUCCUCGCUUUUUGCGAAUAUAAUUUGUACGAAAGACACAGCUGACCACUUCCAGUACAUUUUUAUUAAUAUACAGAAGACAUUCGACACUGAGACCGACACUCUGCAGUCAGUGAGUGACCAGGAAAGAGUUGACUUCAGGGGAAACAAUUGCACAGAUUUUUAGCCUCGCUAGUCACUGCCUGCAGCAGUAAUCGGAAGAGCGCCUGUUCUCGCCCGCCAUCAGCCUCCAGAGAUUCUAUGAGGGGCUCUGUGGGUCUUCACACUUACAAUGAAAAAGAAAAAGGUGGCCUUACGUCUAUAAUUUACGCGUGAGCUGUCACGAGCGGAGAGCUCCCUUAGCUGUCGGCCAAAUAUUGAGCUGGAGAGACACAGAAGACACUUCACCGGGCAGACAAGAAGGAAAAGUAAAAGGACUCCUCUUCUAUAACAACUGUGGAAAAAAAACACACACAGGCUGAUUCAGAUGAUUCUGAUCCAUCCAGUUCCAGGUCUAUGGAAAUGCAGGAUCUAGCCAGUCCACCCAGCCGAGUCAGUGGAAGCAGCGAUUCCCCUAAUGGUCCAAGCCUUGACAACCAGCAUAUCAAUAACAAUUCCAUCACUCCAAAUGGCACUGAAGGUGAUAACAUCACUAUGCUUACCACAGCGGACUGGUUGUUAAGUUCUAGUACACAGACCGCUGCAGUUAAAACAGAGCCAAUGAGCAGCAGCGAGAUUGCCACCUCUGCAGGCAACGGAUCUCUAGACAGCUUCUCAGGAUCAGCUAUUGGACCCAGUGGCUUCAGCCCAAGACAAACUCACCAGUUUCCCCCCCAGAUCUAUCCGUCCAACAGACCUUAUCCGCAUAUUCUUCCAACUCCUUCAUCUCAAAACAUGGCGGCAUACGGCCAGCCCCAGUACAGCACGGGUAUGCAGCAGGCCACAGCAUACGCCACCUACCCUCAGCCAGGCCAGCCCUAUGGAAUCCCAGCCUAUGGUCCGUUGUGGGCAGGCAUCAAGACGGAGGGAGGCCUGGCACAGGCCCAAUCACCGGGCCAGACGGGCUUCUUGAGCUAUAGCUCCGGCUUCACCACACCUCAGACGGGACAGGCACCCUACAGCUACCAAAUGCAAGGGGGCAGUUUUACAACAACAUCGGGACUGUAUGCUGGAAGCAAUUCCCUCACAAAUUCCACUGGAUUUAACAGCCAGCAACAGGAAUAUCCCUCCUACCCUGCCUUUGGCCAGGGUCAGUACACGCAGUAUUAUAGCAACUCACCGUACACCUCCCCGUACAUGACAAGCAACAACACAAGCCCAACCACGCCCUCCACCACAGCCACUUACACAUUACAGGAGCCUCCAUCUGGCAUCACCAGCCAAGCUAUCACAGACCCCCAAGCAGGAGAGUACAGUACAAUCCACAGUCCGUCAACUCCCAUUAAAGAUUCAGAUUCGGAUCGAUUGCGUCGCGUUUCGGACGGAAAGUCACGUGGCCGGGGGAGACGGAACAACAACCCGUCGCCGCCUCCUGACUCUGACCUUGAGCGAGUUUUCAUCUGGGAUUUAGAUGAAACCAUCAUCGUUUUCCACUCUUUGCUCACAGGAUCCUACGCCAACAGAUUUGGACGGGAUCCACCUACAUCUGUGUCACUGGGCCUUAGGAUGGAGGAAAUGAUUUUCAAUCUGGCAGACACACAUCUGUUUUUCAAUGACUUAGAAGAAUGCGACCAGGUCCACAUUGAUGACGUGUCCUCCGAUGACAAUGGCCAGGACCUCAGCACGUACAACUUCAGCACAGAUGGCUUCCACGCAGCAGCCACAAGCGCCAACCUCUGCCUGGCCACGGGUGUGCGGGGAGGGGUGGACUGGAUGAGGAAGCUGGCCUUCCGCUACCGACGAGUAAAAGAGAUCUACACCACCUACAAAAACAAUGUUGGAGGUCUUCUUGGUCCAGCCAAAAGGGAAGCUUGGUUACAGCUGCGAGCAGAAAUUGAAGCCCUGACAGACUCCUGGUUAACACUGGCACUGAAAGCACUAACAUUAAUCCACUCUAGGUCAAACUGUGUUAACAUUUUAGUCACAACCACGCAACUUAUACCCGCCCUUGCGAAAGUCCUGCUGUACGGACUGGGGAUCGUGUUUCCUAUCGAGAAUAUUUAUAGUGCUACAAAAAUCGGAAAAGAAAGCUGUUUUGAAAGGGUAAUCCAGAGGUUCGGGAGGAAAGUUGUUUACAUUGUUGUGGGAGACGGCGUGGAAGAGGAGCAGGGUUCUAAAAAGCACAACAUGCCCUUCUGGAGGAUUUCCAGCCACUCGGACCUCAUGGCUCUCCACCACGCCCUAGAACUGGACUACUUGUAGCAACCCACCCGCCACCCCGAGUCCAAAUGCCCACACACACCCCUUCUUUUUACCCUCCUCUAUCGCGAAGCACGCUCGCCACAGACCUCACAGCAGACACAGUGACACAGUGUCCCACCCGAAAUGGAGCGGCCACACCCGAGCGCGUCGACACAGCGGCCACAGUUCGUCUUAACCCUCGACCUUUUUCUAAAACGGAAGAGACUGAAAUUUAUGGCAGCGCAGCUGCUGGCCCCGGUUACUGUGAAUUGGCUGCUUUAGAAAGCCAUCAAAAUGUUUUAUAGCCUUGUCUGUGCCGCGCCUCAGCAAGGGUUCACACCUGUGAAGAAACGAGAGCUACCGAUGCGUCAGAACCUCACCGGACCCGAGUCUCUCCGCCCCCUUGGUCUCACCUCAGUAGUACAAAGACUGCAGGGCUCGCCGGCUCCCUGCAGAGGCUCCCAUCAGGACGGUGCUGCCUCGGAUAUCCACUGCUUAUUUAAGAGCUGGGGGCAUGCGACUCGCAGCGUCCCACGAAAGAACUAUAUAAGAAGUAUCCCAAGAUAAAGGACCGAAGAUCAAUAGGUCACAGCCCCGAAUCCUGUAAUCCAUGCAGUUUGGAAGUUCUGAAGUUAUAUAUGCUGAAAAAGGCUAUGAUCAUGAAAUAUGGCAUUUCACAGAAAAAUAAAUCCGUCAUCCUUUCACCACCUACUGUCUGCUUUGUAACCAGUGUAACUGCUAUUUGAACUAAGCAAGGUUAAACUUCAGCCUUGUUAGGGGAAAAAAGGCUCAGAGUACUUUUUAUUACCUUUUUUUUUUUUUUUUUUACAAGCGCUAAAACAAACUUGUACAACAAUUGUUUUUUAUGACUUAGUAUUUUUAAAAAGUCAUUUUAAUUUUGAGUUUAAAAUCAUAGUUGUUGUCCACUUUGAUUGCCGUAGCUUAAAUUAAUAGUACCUUGUUCAUAAUUCUAACUUCACGUGGACUUGGUUGAUCGUGGAUUUUGAACCUCGAGGCCGAGAACACACAUAUACACACACACACACACACACACACACACACACACAUAUACAACUGCGCUGUCAACUGUGAAUUUCCUUUAUGUUGAAUUUAGCCGACCCGUCCACAGUUCUCUCUCCCAAAACCUGUUCAGUGUAGCUGGUAUGUGUCUGUGGGGCCUCUCAGUAGCGUCGCCUAGCAAAUCGCACCAGACUCUCCACAAAUCUGCAAUUUUACUGCUCUGAAACCACCCCCCCCCCGU